rnacentral:rRNA from 1 species
CGCGGAGGGAUCAUUACCGAGUUGUAACACUCACAAACCCACUGCAAACGUACCCAUUUUGGUGACUCCGGCAGGCGGCCCCAGGGCGGGGCCUCAGCCUUUUUAGGCGCCUGCCGAAGGUGCCGCAACUUUACUCUAUAAUCAUGUAUUCUGAGUCCUAAGACAAAAUAUCAAAAUUUUCAAUUGUGGAUCUCUUGGUUCUGGCAUCGAUGAAGAACGCAGCGAAAUGCGAUAAGUAAUGUGAAUUGCAGAAUUCAGCGAAUCAUCGAAUCUUUGAACGCACAUUGCGCCCAUUAGUAUUCUAGUGGGCAUGCCUGUUCGAGCGUCAUUUCAACCCUCGGGCCCGUACGGGACCGGUGUUGGGGCUUUUUUUUGCCGCAUGGCAAGCCCCGAAAGCAAGUGGCGGGCCCGCUGAGACCCCGAGCGUAGUAGUUUACACCAUCGCUCCGGGGCGCCCGGCGGGCGGCACCAGCCGUUAAAGCACUUCAAGUCUUACAAGGUUGACCUCGGAUCAGGUAGGAAUACCCGCUGAACUUAAGCAUAUCAAUAAGCGGAGGAAAAGAAACCAACAGGGAUUGCCCUAGUAACGGCGAGUGAAGCGGCAACAGCUCAAAUUUGAAAUCUGGCCCUAGGCCCGAAUUGUAAUUUGUAGAGGAUGCUUCUGGUGACGUGCCUUCUGAGUUCCCUGGAACGGGACGCCAGAGAGGGUGAGAGCCCCGUAUAGUCGGCCACUGAACCUCUGUGAAGCCCCUUCGACGAGUCGAGUAGUUUGGGAAUGCUGCUCAAAAUGGGAGGUAAACUUCUUCUAAAGCUAAAUACCGGC